CCUACGGGAGGCUGCAGUGGGGAAUAUUGGACAAUGGGGGAAACCCUGAUCCAGCGACGCCGCGUGAGUGAAGAAGUAUUUCGGUAUGUAAAGCUCUAUCAGCAGGAAAGAAAAUGACGGUACCUGACUAAGAAACCCCGGCUAACUACGUGCCAGCAGCCGCGGUAAUACGUAGGGGGCAAGCGUUAUCCGGAUUUACUGGGUGUAAAGGGAGCGUAGACGGCAGCGCAAGUCUGGAGUGAAAGGCCGGGGCCCAACCCCGGAACUGCUCUGGAAACUGUGAGGCUGGAGUGCAGGAGAGGUAAGCGGAAUUCCUGGUGUAGCGGUGAAAUGCGUAGAUAUCAGGAGGAACACCAGCGGCGAAGGCGGCUUACUGGACUGUAACUGACGUUGAGGCUCGAAAGCGUGGGGAGCAAACAGGAUUAGAUACCCGAGUAGUC
rnacentral:rRNA from 1 species